CUGAAAUCGCAUGAGACAGAGCUCAUGAAAAGG
rnacentral:sRNA from 1 species